GGGGGUAUAGCUCAGUUGGCUAGAGCGCCUGCAUGGCAUGCAGGAGGUCAAGGGUUCGACUCCCUUUAUCUCCA
rnacentral:tRNA from 1 species